GGUAGCCGACCUGAGAGGGUGACCGGCCACACUGGGACUGAGACACGGCCCAGACUCCUACGGGAGGCAGCAGUGGGGAAUAUUGCACAAUGGGCGGAAGCCUGAUGCAGCGACGCCGCGUGAGGGAUGAAGGCCUUCGGGUUGUAAACCUCUUUCAGCAGGGACGAAGCGUGAGUGACGGUACCUGCAGAAGAAGCACCGGCUAACUACGUGCCAGCAGCCGCGGUAAUACGUAGGGUGCGAGCGUUGUCCGGAAUUACUGGGCGUAAAGAGUUCGUAGGCGGUUUGUCGCGUCGUUUGUGAAAACCCGGGGCUCAACUUCGGGCUUGCAGGCGAUACGGGCAGACUUGAGUGUUUCAGGGGAG
rnacentral:rRNA from 1 species